AAUGCACAUGCUGUGAGCUCGAUGAGUAGGGCGGGACACGUGGUAUCCUGUCUGAAUAUGGGGGGACCAUCCUCCAAGGCUAAAUACUCCUGACUGACCGAUAGUGAACCAGUACCGUGAGGGAAAGGCGAAAAGAACCCCGGCGAGGGGAGUGAAAAAGAACCUGAAACCGUGUACGUACAAGCAGUGGGAGCACAGAGCAAUCUGUGUGACUGCGUACCUUUUGUAUAAUGGGUCAGCGACUUAUAUUCUGUAGCAAGGUUAACCGAAUAGGGGAGCCGAAGGGAAACCGAGUCUUAACCGGGCGUUAAGUUGCAGGGUAUAGACCCGAAACCCGGUGAUCUAGCCAUGGGCAGGUUGAAGGUUGGGUAACACUAACUGGAGGACCGAACCGACUAAUGUUGAAAAAUUAGCGGAUGACUUGUGGCUGGGGGUGAAAGGCCAAUCAAACCGGGAGAUAGCUGGUUCUCCCCGAAAGCUAUUUAGGUAGCGCCUCGUGAAUUCAUCUCCGGGGGUAGAGCACUGUUUCGGCAAGGGGGUCAUCCCGACUUACCAACCCGAUGCAAACUGCGAAUACCGGAGAAUGUUAUCACGGGAGACACACGGCGGGUGCUAACGUCCGUCGUGAAGAGGGAAACAACCCAGACCGCCAGCUAAGGUCCCAAAGUCAUGGUUAAGUGGGAAACGAUGUGGGAAGGCCCAGACAGCCAGGAUGUUGGCUUAGAAGCAGCCAUCAUUUAAAGAAAGCGUAAUAGCUCACUGGUCGAGUCGGCCUGCGCGGAAGAUGUAACGGGGCUAAACCAUGCACCGAAGCUGCGGCAGCGACACUGUGUGUUGUUGGGUAGGGGAGCGU
rnacentral:rRNA from 1 species